rnacentral:pre_miRNA from 1 species
UUAAAUCAAUUUUGGAAUAAAGUUGGAAUGUUUUCAUACGUUUGUCGCUAGGGGCGCUGUUCCAACUGCAUACAAAUUUGAGUUA